rnacentral:rRNA from 1 species
CCGUAACUAUAACGGUCCUAAGGUAGCGAAAUUCCUUGUCGGGUAAGUUCCGACCUGCACGAAUGGCGUAAUGAUGGCCAGGCUGUCUCCACCCGAGACUCAGUGAAAUUGAACUCGCUGUGAAGAUGCAGUGUACCCGCGGCAAGACGGAAAGACCCCGUGAACCUUUACUAUAGCUUGACACUGAACAUUGAGCCUUGAUGUGUAGGAUAGGUGGGAGGCUUUGAAGCGUGGACGCCAGUCUGCGUGGAGCCAACCUUGAAAUACCACCCUUUAAUGUUUGAUGUUCUAACGUUGGCCCGUAAUCCGGGUUGCGGACAGUGUCUGGUGGGUAGUUUGACUGGGGCGGUCUCCUCCCAAAGAGUAACGGAGGAGCACGAAGGUUAGCUAAUCCUGGUCGGACAUCAGGAGGUUAGUGCAAUGGCAUAAGCUAGCUUGACUGCGAGCGUGACGGCGCGAGCAGGUGCGAAAGCAGGUCAUAGUGAUCCGGUGGUUCUGAAUGGAAGGGCCAUCGCUCAACGGAUAAAAGGUACUCCGGGGAUAACAGGCUGAUACCGCCCAAGAGUUCAUAUCGACGGCGGUGUUUGGCACCUCGAUGUCGGCUCAUCACAUCCUGGGGCUGAAGUAGGUCCCAAGGGUAUGGCUGUUCGCCAUUUAAAGUGGUACGCGAGCUGGGUUUAGAACGUCGUGAGACAGUUCGGUCCCUAUCUGCCGUGGGCGCUGGAGAAUUGAGGGGGGCUGCUCCUAGUACGAGAGGACCGGAGUGGACGCAUCACUGGUGUUCGGGUUGUCAUGCCAAUGGCACUGCCCGGUAGCUAAAUGCGGAAGAGAUAAGUGCUGAAAGCAUCUAAGCACGAAACUUGCCCCGAGAUGAGUUCUCCCUGAGACUUUAAGUCUCCUGAAGGAACGUUGAAGACGACGACGUUGAUAGGCCGGGUGUGUAAGCGCAGCGAUGCGUUGAGCUAACCGGUACUAAUGAACCGUGAGGCUUAACCUU